UGAGGAAUAUUGGUCAAUGGGGGAAACCCUGAACCAGCGACGCCGCGUGAGGGAUGAAGGGGCUUUGCCUCGUAAACCUCUGUCGGAAGGGAAGAAAAGCUUCGUAUACGAAGCUGGGACUGUACCUUCAAAGGAAGGAUCGGCUAACUACGUGCCAGCAGCCGCGGUAAUACGUAGGAUCCUAGCGUUGUCCGGAUUUACUGGGUGUAAAGGGUGCGUAGGCUGACAUGUGCGUCAGAGGUUAAAUGUCACGGCUCAACCGUGAACCUGCCUUUGAUACGGCGUGUCUAGAGUGUGAGAGAGGAAGGUAGAAUUCCUGGUGUAGCGGUGAAAUGCGUAGAUAUCAGGAGGAAUACCAGUGGCGAAGGCGGCCUUCUGGCUCACAACUGACGCUGAGGCACGAAAGCGUGGGGAGCAAACAGG
rnacentral:rRNA from 1 species